AGUGCUUUAAAUGCCAAGCAAUCUUACUGACAAAUAGUUACACUGAGUGAUGUCCAGAGGGGAAAAGUAAAGAAAAAAGACAGAGAAAGACGAAGCAAGCCGUGUUCUGUUUAGGAACUAAGAGGCCUCUGUGCUUCUGGGAGUUUCUAGCCAGCAAACUGCAGACAACUUGGCGUGGCUGAUGCAAUGACAGCACAAUUAUAUGUCAGUGAGGCAAGAACGUGCAAUUGCCAACAAAUGCCUCUGUUACAGAGGCCCGCAGAGCCCCGGGUUUAGAGAAGUGCCUUGGGGCUUUCUUGAGACCUGAUGGAUCACAUGAGCACGCACCAACUGGGCUGAUAGAUUCCUCUCACUGCCGUCACUCUGAGGUGGUAAAAGAAAUGCUUCAGACAUGGACAUCUGUCCCAGGAGCCUCUGAUGUUAGCCACAAAUGAGAAACCCACAACUUCAAAGUCAAUAUCUGGCCAACACAGAACGGUGAGUAGCCUUCCACUCCAGGUCAAAGUUUGGAAAUGACAUCUUCCAUCAAAAGGAGCCACACUACUCAAUGAAGUGGUAAUUCACGGUCUGAAGCAGCAAAUGGAGAAAAGGAACCAGGAGUGCCUAUCAGGCUUGGUGAGGAAGCUAUCAGAGAUGCUAGGGCAUUUCAAAGGACUCCAGGACCACCUUACAGAGGCCAAAGAUGUGAUCAUUUGACUAUUAGUACAAUGGUAGAAUGGAACACACCAAAUAUGUUUAAAUCUGUGAGCUCAUAGUACUAAAAAUAAUAGUCAUGUUCAGAGGAUGAUGGAUAAGCAGUUUACUACUCAGCUGGAAACUGGUGAAUAAAUGCUACCAUUUUUUGCUGCC